rnacentral:misc_RNA from 1 species
UUUCCGUAGGUGAACCUGCGGAAGGAUCAUUGUCGAAUCCUGCGAAGCAGACGACCCGUGAACUUGUUUAACCCACGGGCGUCGGGACGUGGGGAACCGCGGACCGGCGCCCCACGCACGGCGUCGGCCAUUGGUCGCUCGUCGGGCGAGAAACUAAACCCGGGCGCAGAAAAGCGCCAAGGAAAACGAGAAAAGGAUGGCCUGCCUCUCGACGCCCCGUACGCGGUGUGCACGAGGGGAGCACAGGCACCUGUACAAAACUAAAACGACUCUCGGCAACGGAUAUCUCGGCUCUCGCAUCGAUGAAGAACGUAGCGAACUGCGAUACUUGGUGUGAAUUGCAGAAUCCCGUGAACCAUCGAGUCUUUGAACGCAAGUUGCGCCCGAAGCCAUCCGGCAUAGGGCACGUCUGCCUGGGCGUCACGCAUCGCGUCGCCCCCCUAACCCCGUGGACCUUCAUCGGUUGCGGGCGACUGGAGGGGGCGGAAAAUGGCUUCCCGUGCCCCUGGUGCGGCUGGCCUAAAUGCGAGUCCCUUGCGACGGACGCGACGACAAGUGGUGGUUGAUUGUCUCAACUCGAGUGCUGUCGCGCGAGGCCCCGUUGAAAGAGGAGACUCUGCCCCGACCCUACAGCAUGUGUCGCCAUGACGCAUGUCACGACCGCGACCCCAGGUCAGGC